rnacentral:rRNA from 1 species
ACUCCUACGGGAGGCAGCAGUGGGGAAUCUUGCACAAUGGAGGAAACUCUGAUGCAGCGACGCCGCGUGAGCGAUGAAGCCCUUCGGGGUGUAAAGCUCUUUCGACGGGAACGAUAAUGACGGUACCCGAAGAAGAAGCCCCGGCUAACUUCGUGCCAGCAGCCGCGGUAAUACGUAGGGUGCGAGCGUUAAUCGGAAUUACUGGGCGUAAAGUGUGCGCAGGCGGCCGCGCAAGUCGAGUGUGAAAGCCCCGGGCUUAACCUGGGAACUGCGUUUGAUACGGAUGGGCUAGAGUUCGGGAGAGGAGAGUGGAAUUCCCAGUGUAGAGGUGAAAUUCGUAGAUAUUGGGAAGAACACCGGUGGCGAAGGCGGCUCUCUGGACCGAGACUGACGCUGAGGCGCGAAAGCGUGGGGAGCAAACAGGAUUAGAUACCCUGGUAGUCCACGCUGUAAACGAUGUGUGCUAGACGUUGGGGAGCCUAGCUCUUCGGUGUCGCAGCUAACGCGGUAAGCACACCGCCUGGGGAGUACGGCCGCAAGGUUAAAACUUAAAGGAAUUGACG